GAAAAGCAGCUUUGGGACCAAAAGGUCACUGGUUUGAUUCCCUGGACCAGCAGGAAUAGCUGAAGGGUCCUUGAGCAAGACACCUGACCCCCAACUGCCCCAGUUGAUACACUCUAAUUUCAAUUUGAAGAUGUGGCAGCGGGGGCGUGGUCAAGCAUUGGUCUGUGACCAGAGGGCGGAGUCAGGAAAGCUGAGAUAAGCAGAGCAAUCCUCUUCUACCACUGCCUCUAUUUACACUUGAGCCUGACACACAGGAAGCAGAAGGAGAUGCAUUAAACUGAGGAAAUUCCCUGCUGCAAUUCAUCUUUUUUUCCGAAACAGAAUG